rnacentral:rRNA from 1 species
UGUUCGGAGAGUUUGAUCCUGGCUCAGGACAAACGCUGGCGGGGUGCGUGAGACAUGCAAGUCGAACGGGGUUGAUCGGGCUUGCUCGAUCAACCUAGUGGCGGACGGCUGAGUAACGCGUAGGUGACCUGCCCGGAAGUGGGGAAUAACUGCCCGAAAGGGUGGCUAAUACCGCAUGUGGUCGGCGAUUCGAUUCGCCGUCUAAAGGAGUAAUCCGCUUCCGGAGGGGCCUGCGUCCGAUUAGCUAGUUGGUGGGGUAACGGCUCACCAAGGCGACGAUCGGUAGCUGGUCUGAGAGGAUGAUCAGCCAGACUGGGACUGAGAACGGCCCAGACUCCUACG